GGAAAAGUUGGCCGAAAGGGGACAACCGGCCUUUCGAGUGCGUGCAGACCCCAACUACCCGUUUACAUCCGGCUGGCAUCUAGUCACGGAAAUAGGCUCUUCGGCCCUACUCCUCUAUGCCAACCAAGAUUCUCAUGUCAGCUCCAUCAGCAAUUUGUGUGGUGGCAGAGAAACUGUAGGAUCUGCAGAUUGUGAUGCUGCCUAAGAAUGGCAUUGAUGCGCAAAGGAGGUGUGCAGUGUAACAGCAAGUGAUCGACUUACUUUCUUCUGAUCGCAAGACCCUGUUGGACAUUGGCGGUUUGGCUUAUUGGAAAUUGGCGGGGAACUGCGUGGCCUUGGUUGUAGCAAGGACUAGGCCUCAAGCCACGGCGUUGCCUAUUUGCAGCCACCCAGGGGCAGGCAUUGGAGUCUGGCACUCUACUGGAGUGCUGAAGGUGGCGUGGCGUGGUAUAGCGUCCAUCAUGGAGUUGGUGCUUCCUCCCUCCCCUCACCCUGUGUUCGCUCUGCAGAAGACAAGCUGUAUUGUUUAUUCCACUGCAACAUUCAUGGACUAAGGGACUUGGACUAUAUUUUUUUGUGUGACUGUAUUUUACUGCCAUCUUACAUAAACUUGCUAUCUUAUAGGUGCUAUAUGUACCUUGUACUGUGUAUGACUAUUGCUACUGUGUUUUGUACCUUGGAUCCAAAGUAAUGCUGUUUCGUUCGUUUGUACAGUAUUCAUGGAUAUUCAUGUAUGGUUGAUUGACAAUUAAAUUGAACUUAAAAUAGGAAAAGGUCUGAGCAUGUUACUACAAUGCACGUAAAAACAAACCAUGUCACACCCUAUGUAAAAUUAAUCUGAAGUGAUGAAAUUAUUCACUUUCAAUAAAGUGAGGCCAUUAACGAUGGAAUAAA